UUUUGCCGGGUUAAUUUCCACCAGGAACUCGUUGAACCGUGGGCCGGGAACCCGUGACCACCCAAUGCCAAUGGUCCCUAAUGAAUUGCUUUGCUGGUUGGGUUUAUGAGUUGUAGGUUUUGUAUUCCGUCCGAGUUCGGGAGGGACGGGGGUGCGUACGGUACCAUCCCCUUAACCUUCUUAUUUCAGUUUUCAGAGGGUAAAAGAAAAGGAAGAGGAAAAAAAUGCAUGCAGCUGCUAUGGUAUUUCCAAACGGUGUCCUCUGCUUUGCCAGAGUCCCAGCUUCCAUCAAGCCCAAGCUGGGAGUAUCCAUUUUCUCCCAGAAAGACCUAAACCAUCUUGUCAGACUACAAACUGAGGGAUCAUCUCUUGAUGCAGCUUAUUGAACUUGACAGAGAUUGCAGAUGGGUCUCUGCUCUUUGCUUCCAGAAGGAAAUUAAUUCAAUCAACUGUGUUAAGCAUAAGGUCUGAAGGAAGCAGGAGAGGCCGUCCACGUAGGAACAUUGGAUCUGGUAGAACUCCAAAGGAGGAUGAUAAUUUGAAGACUCCUCUGUCAUCUGAUGGGAAUUCCUCUGGUUCCAACCAGGAGGAGAUAAUUGCAUUAUUUAGACGGAUACAGUCUUCAAUCUCAGGAGGGCUUGGAAGUAAUAAGAAGAGAAGCUCUGACAAUUCUAAAGGAAAACAAUCAGCAGAAUCAGUUUUGGAAGUUCUCCGCCAAUCCAGAAAACAAGAUACAGUUCCUAGGAAAUAUGGGAAAAUAGCACCCCGGAGAAGAGUUGAACCAAAGAAAAAGCGCGUAAUAGAGGAUGAUUCUCCAAGAGCAGAGUUUAAAUUGACGAGGCCUCCAUCAAAAUUUGUGAAGAGAUCACCGAUCCCAUCGUUGUCAACCCCAAGAGCAAAAGUUGUUGAAGCAACUACAGUAAGAGAAGUAUCAUUCACCACAGUUGGGGGGAAAAAAUCACGGAGAAUAGAGGAAAUGAAACUUACUGAGCUGAAAGAACUAGCAAAAUCUAGAGGAAUUAAAGGUUACUCAAGGUUGAAGAAGGGUGACCUGGUUGAGCUGUUGAAGGGCUCGUCAUUGUCCUAGUGACAGAUUGAGGCUUCCUGAUCUGGGAAGUGAUUCUCAGGGGCCAGAAUUUUUUGUCUUUGUUCUUCCUUCUUGCUGGAGAUAUUCUGGUGCAAAGUGAGUUGAUUUAUUCUUGCUUUAAUUGAACUUGGGAUAAAAUCAUCGUCAACUUUCUCAGCAUCCCCUCCCCUCUCUCUGGGUUGAUAUCUAAAUUGGCCCAGUCGAGUUCAGUUACACUAUUCUGAUAAGCUUUUAUGUAAAGUUGGCAAGAUGAUCAAUGAUAAUCGGUGGGGUGAUUCAGCGGGGGAAUUGAAACUUGGAAGUAAAAUUUAGUUGUAUAAGCUGAAUAUUCCUUUGUUGUCUGAUCCCCAGAGCAGUGCAUAUGCAGUUGCAAACA